CAGGAUUCAGGAGUGAAGCUGCUCUCUGAUGGACUGAAGAGUUCACACUGUCGACUGAACAUCCUGAGGCUAUGUGGAUGUAAUCUCACAGCUCAGUCUUGUGGGAGUUUGUCUUCAGCUCUACAAUCCUCAAAUUCCCAUCUAAAUGUGCUGGACCUGAGUUACAAUGACCUGCAGGAUUCAGGAGUGAAGCUGCUUUCUGAAGGUCUGAAGAGUCCAAACUCUAAGCUGGAGAUAAUGAGAUUUUCCAUCUGUAAUCUCAC